rnacentral:misc_RNA from 1 species
CGAAAUGCGAUAAGUAAUGUGAAUUGCAGAAUUCAGUGAAUCAUCGAAUCUUUGAACGCACCUUGCGCUCCUUGGUAUUCCUUGGAGCAUGCCUGUUUGAGUAUCAUGAAAUCUUCAAAGUAAAUCUUUUGUUAACUCAAUUGGUUUCUACUUUGGUAUUGGAGGUCUUUGCAGCUUCACACCUGCUCCUCUUUGUUCAUUAGCUGGAUCUCAGUGUUAUGCUUGGUUCCACUCGGCGUGAUAAGUUAUCUAUCACUGAGGACACUGUAAAAGGUGGCCAAGGUAAAUGCAGAUGAACCGCUUCUAAUAGUCCAUUGACUUGGACAAUACUUUUAUGAUCUGAUCUCAAAUCAGGUAGGACUACCCGCUGAACUUAAGC